rnacentral:rRNA from 1 species
GACAGAGGGGCCGAGCGUUAGGCGGAAUCACUGGGCUUAAAGCGUGUGUAGGCGGGCCGUUAAGUAUCUUGUGAAAUCCCCCGGCUCAACCGGGGAAAUGCUGGAUAUACUGGCGGUCUUGAGCGAUCUAGGGGCAGAUGGAACAGACGGUGGAGCGGUGAAAUGCGUAGAUAUCGGCUGGAACGCCGAAGGUGAAGACAGUCUGCUGGGGAUCUGCUGACGCUGAGACACGAAAGCCAGGGGAGCGAACGGG